AUUGAACGCUGGCGGCAUGCCUUACACAUGCAAGUCGAACGGUAACGCGGGGCAACCUGGCGACGAGUGGCGAACGGGUGAGUAAUGCAUCGGAACGUGCCCAGUAGUGGGGGAUAGCCCGGCGAAAGCCGGAUUAAUACCGCAUACGACCUACGGGUGAAAGCGGGGGACCGUAAGGCCUCGCGCUAUUGGAGCGGCCGAUGGCAGAUUAGGUUGUUGGUGGGGUAAAAGCCUACCAAGCCGACGAUCUGUGGCUGGUCUGAGAGGACGACCAGCAACACUGGGACUGAGACACGGCCCAGACUCCUACGGGAGGCAGCAGUGGGGAAUUUUGGACAAUGGGGGCAACCCUGAUCCAGCCAUGCCGCGUGCGGGAAGAAGGCCUUCGGGUUGUAAACCGCUUUUGUCAGGGAAGAAACGCUCUGGGCUAAUACCCCGGGGUAAUGACGGUACCUGAAGAAUAAGCACCGGCUAACUACGUGCCAGCCGCCGCCGUAACAC
rnacentral:rRNA from 1 species